rnacentral:rRNA from 1 species
AGAGUUUGAUCCUGGCUCAGGACAAACGCUGGCGGCGUGCGUAAAACAUGCAAGUCGCACGGCCCCUUCGGGGGCAGUGGCAGACGGCUGAGUAACGCGUAGGAAUCUGCCCUUCGGUGGGGAAUAACGGGCCGAAAGGUCCGCUAAUACCGCAUACGACCCCGGGCAACCGGGAGGAAAGCCGCAAGGCGCCGAAGGAGGAGCCUGCGUCCGAUUAGCUAGUUGGUGGGGUAACGGCCUACCAAGGCGAUGAUCGGUAGCUGGUCUGAGAGGAUGACCAGCCAGACUGGGACUGGGACACGGCCCAGACUCCUACGGGAGGCAGCAGUUAGGAAUUUUGGGCAAUGGCCGCAAGGCUGACCCAGCAACGCCGCGUGGGGGACGAAGGCCUUCGGGUUGUAAACCCCUUUUGUCAGGGACGAUGAUGACGGUACCUGACGAAGAAGCCCCGGCUAACUACGUGCCAGCAGCCGCGGUAAUACGUAGGGGGCGAGCGUUGUCCGGAUUCAUUGGGCGUAAAGCGCGCGUAGGCGGCUUGGCAAGUCGGCCGUGAAAUCUCCGGGCUCAACUCGGAGGGGUCGGGCGAGACUGCCAGGCUCGAGGUGGGCAGAGGGCAGUGGAAUUCCGGGUGUAGUGGUGGAAUGCGUAGAGAUCCGGAGGAACACCAGUGGCGAAGGCGGCUGCCUGGGCCUGGCCUGACGCUGAGGCGCGAAAGCGUGGGGAGCGAUCCGGAUUAGAUACCCUAGUAGUCC